UGUAGGAGUGAGCCUGCUCGCGAUAGCGGUGUGUCUGUCACCUAUGUGUAACUGACACACCGCUAUCGCGAGCAGGCUCACUCCUACA
rnacentral:misc_RNA from 1 species